rnacentral:rRNA from 1 species
AUUGAACGCUGGCGGCAGGCCUAACACAUGCAAGUCGAGCGCGCGGCGGACGGGUGAGUAAUGUCUGGGACACUGCCUGAUGGAGGGGGAUAACUACUGGAACCGGUAGCUAAUACCGCAUACCAUCAGAUGUGCCCCGAUGGGAUUAGCGAGUAGGUGGGGUAAUGGCUCACCUAGGCGACGAUCCCUAGCUGGUCUGAGAGGAUGACCAGCCACACUGGAACUGAGACACGGUCCAGACUCCGACGGGAGGCAGCAGUGGGGAAUAUUGCACAAUGGGCGCAAGCCUGAUGCAGCCAUGCCGCGUGUGUGAAGAAGGCCUUCGGGUUGUAAAGCACUUUCAGCGAGGAGGCGUUACUCGCAGAAGAAGCACCGGCUAACUCCGUGCCAGCAGCCGCGGUAAUAC